rnacentral:rRNA from 1 species
UACGGAGGAUGCAAGCGUUAUCCGGAAUGAUUGGGCGUAAAGCGUCCGCAGGUGGCUGUGUAAGUCUGCUGUCAAAGAGCAAAGCUCAACUUUGUAAAGGCAGUGGAAACUACACGGCUAGAGUGCGUUCGGGGCAGAGGGAAUUCCUGGUGUAGCGGUGAAAUGCGUAGAGAUCAGGAAGAACACCGGUGGCGAAGGCGCUCUGCUGGACCAUAACUGACACUCAGGGACGAAAGCUAGGGGAGCGAAUGGG